UGGCGGACGGGUGAGUAACGCGUGGGGAACCUGCCUUGCACCGGGGGAUAACACUUAGAAAUAGGUGCUAAUACCGCAUAAGCGCACAGAGCCGCAUGGCUCAGUGUGAAAAACUCCGGUGGUGCAAGAUGGACCCGCGUCUGAUUAGCUGGUUGGCGGGGUAACGGCCCACCAAGGCGACGAUCAGUAGCCGGCCUGAGAGGGUGAACGGCCACAUUGGGACUGAGACACGGCCCAAACUCCUACGGAAGGCAGCAG
rnacentral:rRNA from 1 species